AUCUUAACAGGUGCUUAUCGGGUUACCCGAUAACGACCCGUUUCGUUAUCGUGUUGACCCGAACACCUGUUAAUUUCGUAUCGUGUCGUGUUGGGUUAUCGGGUCGUGUCAGGAAUUGUCAGGCCUAUCUUACCCCAUAACAUUCCUUUGGUCGUCAGCAAAACAAGAAAAAGGGAAAAAGGGUAAAAAAAUCAGAGUACUGAUAUGCAUAAAGUAAUUAACAGAAUUAACCAUAUCAUAAAAAGUUGGAAUAAAUAUGAUAUUGUUAAAGAUAAUAUUAUACACAUACUCGUUUUACUUUAUCACAUAUAUUCUCUUAAUUUUAAAGUCGUUGAAUAGAUAAAUUAAAGAAGAUCAAUGAACAAAAAUUAAUAAAGAUGUAUAAAAGGUAAAAAAAAAUAUGCAUAGCAUUACCUUCUUGUUAUUUCAAUUUGUUGAAAGAGAAUGAAAUAUUAGGGUAUGACAAGGAACAAGUCAAGAAGGUUGGUCACUGAGAGGUCCUUCUCUUCCAACGUUACGAUAUGCAUUCCCGUAUAGCUCCUACUGUGUUCUUGUAUAUAUCUGUAAUGUGUGUGUCAGCUUGAGCUAAGCUGCUGCAAAAGCAACAUGCCACUGAGAUCAAGUGGGCCCCAACAAUGCAGAAGAGAUUUCUCUCUGAUCUUUUGAUCAUCUGGGGAACUUUUUGUUUUUUUCGUGUGUGUGUACAUGAAGACUUGAUCAUGUCAUAUAUGAAUACAGUACAGUAUAUAUAGGUUAGUAUAUAUUUUGAUUCUUAAUUUUAUAUAUAUUUUUUAAAUUAGAUAAGUUCAAAAUCAUUAAGACAUUCGUAUAUAAUAAAAAGAAGGGACGAAUAGGGCUUUACAAAGACAAACAAUUGGAUUUGAUUUUGAUAAUUUUGUAGAUUAUCUUUGAAAAGAAAUACCUAAAAGAUAAACAGUGAGACUAUACUUAAAAUAUAUUAUACUUUAGACCCUGAAAAAAGUAUGUUAAAAAAUGUGUCACACAUGUGUGUGUAUAUUCAGAAGUGAGAACAGUAUAUAUGGCAUGGCAGAGCUUGAACAUAUUUGAAGAUCUAUAGCUUAUAGUUUGUUUUUGUGCUUAAAUAUACAGUGGAAACUGUUGCAUGGGGUAAGCUAAUGGGGAUGGCAUGCAUGCACAACCACCAGUUCCUGAUUCAGUACAUUUGCAUGCCAUGUAAUGCCAACCUAUACUUUCAUAGAUAUGCCCUGCAUCUAACUCUGAGUCGUCUUAUUUACAACCCUAAAUUUCCCAUACCCAGCGCCUGCAAAAUAUACAUACAUAUAUAUCUUGUAUAUAUAUUUUUUAUACAUGUGAUAUACACGGACCCGGUACCAAGUUCUCACAUUACAUUUGCAUGUACAUAUAUAUACUCUUCGGUCUUACAUACGUACAAGCCUCGUUUGGUGUUUAAGACUGGAUUAAAAUGGAUAAUUUACAAUACUUAAGGUCUAUUAGAUGGAAGAAAUGAAAAAAUUGUGUCUAACGUGAGGGUAGAAGAUGAUGGAUCACUAAGAGAACUUAUCCAUUUCAAUUUAAGAAAAGAAAGAAAAAAAGAAGAAGAUAGAAUUAGAAAAUAAGUUUCUUACAUGUGUUCAAUCCCUUAAAAAUGAAAAACAAUUCACAACUACUUUCAAUGGAUCCAAUCCUAAGUAAAAAACGUAUGUGGCCAUGUAUUGUUAUGUAGAUAUGUAGCAGGAAGGCUCUCCAUGCAUGACGUCCGGAGCAAGGGGUCAGUCUCCCCGCCGGUUGCAUUGUUAGGUGCUAGUUUUAUCGACAGGCAAGGAGUUUCUCAUGAUUGUUUUGCUAGUUUUGAUCCAUUUCGCAACAUGAUGGUAUGUUUAGGGUUAUAUAAUUACUCAUACAUGUUAGGUUUUAGGGUUUAUUAAGACAGUCCAUUUUCAAACCCCAAGAGUAACCUAAUCAAUGAACGUAUGUUGGGGGGGGACUGGCCUAAAACACAGACAAUAUUUGUUCGGUUUUAAGGUUUGUUAUACUUUCGAUAAAAAAAAAAAUCGUUUUAUAUUCCAAAUCUCGGAGAGUCAAGAGUAACCUAAUCAAUGAACGCAUGCAAGAGGACUCAUUUAAAAAACUUUCAUUGGUUGGGUCGGUUGCUUAUGUUUGCAUAAACAAAUUUAAUUGUUAAUACAAUAAUUUUAAAUAUGUUUUUCACAUGUAUGAAACUAAAAGAAUUAUUUACAUACAUAAACAACUAACUGUAACGUAAUUCCAUACGUAAAUUGUUCGACGACAGAACAAGGUUCUUGCAAUUUGCCAAUCAUCAUGUGUAGAGACAAUAAAUUCUUCUUCUUAUUUUUUUUUUCCAAGAGGGAAAGUGAGGAGUAAAAAGGCCGAAGGGGGUGGUGGUGGGGGUCUCAUCAGGUGUGGAAUGCAAAGCGGUAAGAAAUGAAUCCAACAAGAGAUCAGAUUCUGAGAGAGAAUAGGAGGAGAGAGGGUGUGUGUUCAAUCAACCAUGCAAUCUGCCUUUCAGUCCUGCUCUCUUUGCAGGAUGGGUCAGAAGCAGUACAGAAGAGAGAGAGAGAGAGAGAGAGAGAGAGAGAGAGGGAGCUAGAGAGAGAGGUAAGCAUGACGUAAGUUUCUGGCACCGUAACGCGUGCAUGGAAGCGUGUGAAGCGGAUUUCGAAUUCAAUACACAUACACCGCCUAGGCGCUAGCUAGCUUUUAACUCUCUCCUUGGACUUUU
rnacentral:lncRNA from 1 species